rnacentral:rRNA from 1 species
GUGCCAGCAGCCGCGGUAAUACAGAGGGUGCGAACGUUGCUCGGAAUUACUGGGCGUAAAGCGCGUGUAGGCGGGAUGAUAAGUCGGAAGUGAAAUCCCUGGGCUCAACCCAGGAACUGCUUUCGAAACUGUCGUCCUCGAGUACCGGAGAGGGUGGCGGAAUUCCUGGUGUAGAGGUGAAAUUCGUAGAUAUCAGGAGGAACACCGGUGGCGAAGGCGGCCACCUGGACGGUUACUGACGCUGAGACGCGAAAGCGUGGGGAGCAAACAGGAUUAGAAACCCGCGUAGUCC